AUGCUAGACCAUCUGCAACUACAUCUAACGACAAAGGAACAGACACCCAGGCCAGCAGAAAUAAAAUUGAUAGGGCGAAUCCACCGCUGCAACUAUAACUUCGCCUACCUCUACAUCUACAUCAGAAUAAACAACCUACGCCUACCUCUACAUCUACAAGCAGGGGAGAAAAGGACCACAACAAGCAGAUGGAUUAGAACUCCCCACAUACAACAAGCUCCUACACAACUCAGGCGGGCAGAAGGAUGGGAAAUGGAGCGCUAG
rnacentral:rRNA from 1 species